CCGAAGGGGAAGCGCGAAAAAUCGGCCCACCGGGGACGCACCCAAAUGGGCCGCCGCGCACCCUGGGGGUGCGGGCCGGUGCGGGGACCGCGCGGGUGUGGGCCAGGGGCUCGCGGGCCGCGAUGGCGGGGGGCGCGGGCGCGCCCAAUACGGUGGGCGCUCAACCCCGCCUCCCAGACCUGCCUCCCAAUUUUCGGUGAGUGGUGUAGCCCUGGGCGGCGUGAAAAGUGUGCGACGGCGGCGCUUACCCCUGCUGUGCGCCUCCUUACCUCCAGCCACCCACCCCGCCCUCCCAGCGGCGCGCGCCCGCCGAGGUAGGUGUCAGAGAGCCGAAUUCGAAUUAUUUGCGACGCCCGACGGAGUUUCGUAUCUUCGGACGAGAAAAGUGCGAUGGGAGUGCAAAGGUAGCUCUGCUCGAAGCAGCGGGCGCGCCGGUGUCACGGGAGCCGAGGAGCGGUGGCCGUCGCUGUGGAGUCGGUGCUCGAGGCGUCCUCCCAGGUGGGAGAGGUGGCGGCCUGGCCUGGGCGCCCUGGGGGCUCUGGAACAGAGGGAAAAGUAGUUUACGGAACGUGAACUUGUUUGAGGGUUCUUUCAAAACUUUCAAGUGUCCCGCCCCACACUAGGAUCUAGCAGUGCACGGGAUUAGGAGCAGGGAUAGCAAAUUUUCAACCAGUUGACCCCAGCCCGCCUUUCCUGGGACCUUGGUUGGGUCAUCUGCUGCCACCGUGGUGUCUGCUGGGAUACAGUUUAUUCAUUCAAUAAAUGUUUGGUGCCUGCAGGUUCCGCGGCCCACCAUGUGCCCAGGUGAGCCGAGGCGGCCAGGUAAUCAAGCUAAGACAUGAGCAGUGUCUUUGAUGGGACACAGGCCUACAUCCCGGAAAACCCAGAUAUGCAAAGUCCACAAACUGUCUUCCAACUUUUUCUUUGACUUCUUAACAGAGUCCAUGAAACUUAAGAUGUUUGGAUGGAGAAGGAGAAAGAAAGAAAAGUCUACUUAUAAAUGGAAACACAUUUAACAGUCCCCAGGGGUAUGGGGCGGCUGAUACCACCAGAGGCCUGGAGCAAACUGUUGUAUCACUUUAAGUUAGCUUUGAAAAUAAAAAGACACUGUUAGCCAUUCAACAGGAUGACUGAAAUUCCCCCCUUUCCCCCAGUUUGCUCCACUUCGAGUAAGAAAAGUGUGACAGAUGAAGAUGCCACAUACUAUUUUUCUUGGUCCCUUCAGGUACACCGCUGCCCCCGUUGUACAAGGCCUCUUUUUUAUGAACCUGAAAGGACAACAGAGGGCGAUUCAAAGUCACCAAACAACACUUGGAAUUAAGAACAGGAAGCGCAGCCUAGAUGCCGUCCUGCCCUAGGUUGCUGCAGACCCCUGACUUUCUCGAACUCGGCUGAAAAGUUGCUGCCAGUUUUUUGUCACACUCCUGAUCAUGGCCUCUCUUCCACACAAAAAUACACCUUCUUUUGAAAAUGCUCAAAGGAACCAUCCUAGGUUGAUGCUUUUCACCUAACCAAAGAUGCAUAAAAAUAUUAUGCAGAUACACCUGAAUGUGCUCCCAGGAAAACUCAGCAGUAAGGCCUCAGGACCGAUGAUUCCUAGGCUGCCUGUAACCGUGAAAGUAAGGCUCACUGUCAUCCACCACCUAAAUUGGAAAGAAUCACUUGAUGACAUGGCACAGGUUCUAUAUCUUUAGAUAUUAAAUUAAAAAUUCAUUCACUUUUAAAAAUUGUUAAAGACUUGUACGAGGGAAGGAUAGGCCAGAAAUUUUUGUUAUGCUCCAUUUGUUCAAAAGCAUCUUCCUUCCUGCUUCUAAUGUGGCAAAGCACAGAUACAUUGUCUUUAAGAGGUAAGGUAAAUAGUAACAAAUACAACCUAGAUACUUAUGCCAGGAGCUACAAAGUUAUACAAUGAAUAUAAUGAAGAGCCUCCUUAUUUAGAAAUCUCUGAGCUCCAUUACCACCUUCCCCUUUUAGAUAAGUAUCACACCUGAACUUUAAAAGGAGUGAAACUGCCCCAUGUCAUAUACUAACAUGCGUUCUAGGCAAGGCACAAUUGGGACUAUUGUCCUAGAAAUGUGUAACGCAAGAUCAGGCUUUACUCCUUUCAGCUCUCAAUCUAUGAGGCCAUUCUUGAAAACAAAAAUGUUUUAAGUGUAGGUUUCACCUAUAUUUUAUUAUGACUACUGAUGAAUAAAUAAAGCAUUUACUUUGUAAAUAAAUGACAGCAGGUGGAAUCAUGGGUUUACAAGUAAGCAAAUGACACCCAGAGCGCUGAAACACAAGCUGGUUUGCGGUCAGCUAGGCUCUCUGUUUUCACUCCACACAAAGUGAAAGAAGAGAUUUUAUUGAGCUUUUGGCCUCAAAUUUGACCUCUCAAGGCCCUAAAAGUUGUGAUUUUUUUUUUAAGUCUUUCAGAUAUGGAGGCUACCAUGUGUGACCUUUUCAUAUGGGUUAGUCAUUUAUUUUAAUUGAUCAUUACUGUUUUAAGUACCUAGUUUAUGCUUUGAAAGUGGGGCAAUCUAUUAGCAUAAUUCUUGGAACAGUCCAGAUGAAAGAGCUUUCCAAUGGAAGGGGCCCCUCAUCUGGCUCAGGAAGAGAAGGGAGUUAUGGAGAUUUCAGGGAGAGACAAAGGGCAGAAUAUCUUGGGUAUAAAAUGCCCGAAGAGAGCACAGAUCUGUGGCUCAGGAGACUUGCUUCAUGCCCAAGCCAGUCAGUUGAGAUCAUAACACAUCCCUAACCUAAAACACUAGGUCACCUAACGAAAAAAUUUGGUUAAACAGAUCGUGUCACACACUACACGGAGAUACGGCCUCAAAACAUUUCUUUCCAACAUUCCAUAUUGACAACAAGGAACAACGUCCCACAUCAGGGUUUGAAUUCUGUGGUCUUGUCAGCUUCGUGGUGAUAAAGACAGUUUGUGUUCUUGGCCCCUGGGUAUCCUCCUUUCUGAGUAAGAAUGCCUUGUCUGCCUUUCGAAGCAGCAGACUUGCUACAGCUUAGAAUCUUGAAAAUAGUGUUCUGCUUAAUGAUGUCACUCAGUUUUUGGACAAGAAUGUUAUCCUUGGCCCUUCAUUAGUUGGGGUCAUUUCCAAGAGCCCAGAGCAAAUAUAAUUAUAAUAUUAUUUUAAUAGCCUAGGAAACAAUAAAUAGGUUUCCACUGAAACAGAAACUUUAGCUGUAAGAUUUUAAUAAUAGUAUUUAGUACUUCCACAGUGUUUCCUGUCUUCAAAGCAUAUUCUGCACUUUAAUUAGCUAGAAUGACUGAAACUGCUAUUGCAAAUGAAUGUCAAAGUCUAUGUCAUGUAGAUGAUGAAAGAAGGAAUUGUAAAAAGCAUUUCCUAGUCCCAGUUAAUCCUUGUAAGAAGGCUCUGUUACUUUAGACCAUAAAAGUUCUUAGAAAUCGAAUGUAGUGAUUAUCUAGGACAUUUUUUUCUUGUCAUAUUCACUAGUCAGUAACUCCAACCACAAAGUAACCCUAAACUUAUAUUCAAAACUAAACAUGAUGUAAAACUUCAUUUCAGAAGACUUGAAGUCAAUUACUGAAGAAUUAACUACAUGGCCAUAUGACAUUUUCCUAUUUAUUAUCCAUCAACUAAUUUUAAAAUGAUCUGUUUUUAAUUCAGAACAUACUCUGAUUCAAACAGAAUGUGGAUGUACAUUGGCCAGUGUGUUUGGACCCAAUUUCUUGAGUCAGUGGAUUUGAGAUGUUGUUCAAACAUCUACUUAAAAGUAUGGCACACAAUAUAAGGGCAACGAGGACGUUUUGCAGCCCUUCUUGAUCUUUCCUGACUCUCUGAUGGGGAGGCACCAUCUGUGAGAGAGGCUUCCUGGUCUCUGUGGACAGAUGCCCAAUUCCCCAGGCCAUCAAUGCCUUUCUCACCACAUCCCCAUGAGCCCCAGAGUGGGCGGGAAUGGAUUUCUAACAAAGCCACCACAUACCUUAAGAAGCAGGAAGCUAACAAAAAGAGCUGACAUGUAUUACUUAUGUUCCUUUUAGAAGCCUAAAUGAUAUGAUGCACAUGUUACCCUUCAUUGAAGAUUCUAGGUGGACAAACAACUUGGAUAUCAACAGGGAGCAGAAAACCUACUAGCAGGACCAAAAGGCAGACCCAUCAGCAGAACACAGGCGGCAGCUUCAACAAUUAAUUCCAAAACUGAAAGUCAAAUCCAGGAGAAGACAGGAAGCUCCAUUUUCUUUGAGCACUUAAUUGUAAAUUAAGAUUUGCUGAUGAUGACGGGCUAAUUUAAGCUACCAUGGAAAGAGGAAAGAAAUGGAAGCUGCCGACUGUAGGAAGCAGUACCUGUACUGCGCAGGUAAAAAUAUAAAUGAAACGAAAGAAGAAAAUCUAACUUCUCAUUCUGGAAGGCAGUGGCUGACACAGAUCAAGAGGAUAUUGUUUUUGCAGCCCCUGUUCUCCGUUAUGUAAGAAAUGGUCUUUUAAAAGACAGACUUGGGAAGGGGGUAUUAUCUCUGCUAGCCAAGCAAAUUAUAGAUUACUCCCCACUUCCACCCCCACCACCAUGAAAUCCUGAAAGAGUUAACAGGUGAACAGUAGCAGCUUGGAAUGAUUUAUUUUUUUCUAAGGAACAUUAAAUACUGAAUUGCUCAUGCUGAAAUAACGCUACAGCUGUGAUCUGUGGGGCUGAGUUUUGGACACUGGCUCGAGUGACAGGUGUACUCGUUGUUUGCCCAGCUCGGCUGAAAUUGUGAUGCCUAACUCAAAUGUUUUCCCAAUUAACUGGUGAGGAUUCUGGAGCCAGCCAGGAAAGGGCCUUUUGCCACAAGGAUGGAAGACAUGUGUGCUCAGCCUUCAACAAAAAUGUCAGCCUUAGGGGAGAAUGGAGCCGUUGCUCCCUGAUCAUAAAAACAAGAAAAUGGAGAUGGACCUGCAAUGUCCAGAAAGGUAGGGAAAAGAGACAAUCUAAUUGGGACCAAACCCUUCUAGGUUCUAAAGCAAGCAGGUCUGUCCUACAGUUCAGCUCUUGGAGGAUUUUAGGGAUUGAAGCAAGUCCAGGAUUCUAGGAAAUGUGUCACCAAAAUUGGUAUUAUUAGAGAAAGUGGCACAAAGCUACAAGUGCAGAGUCUGAUCUGUAACAUGCUAAUUACAUCUAUUUUUAUCCCAGGGUUGCAGUGACCUAACAUCAAGAAAUAAAAACUCUGGAAAACUAGCCUUUCACAUAUAGAAAGUAUGAUUACCCUUAGGUAUGGGGCCCCUGGGAAAACUUUCACUGGAUCUAUGAAUUUAACCUGAGGUAAGAAAGCAGCAGUCACCCAGGAAGGUGGCUGACUUUCAAGAGCACUUGGCAGCAGUGAGGGGAGGCACAUGGGGAGUUGUGGAAUAAUGUCAGCAUUUAGUAAGAGGGGAACUCUGAAAUGUCCAAGGCCAGCCCAAGCAAACGGCGCUAUCUCCACGUGGUGCCCUGGUCUGGAAAGGGAAGGAAGAAGGCUAGGCUAUGUUUUGCCAAGCCAAGACAUAAAUGAGGAAGCUUUCCUCAAUCCAUUCCACUGAUAGCAAAGGCCCUGGAUCCCUAUCUUCUACCAAGAUGGUGCCAAAUAGCCGAACCAUACAAAGGAAAUUGGUAUAAAACUUCAUUGGGACCCAGAGACAUCUAAUCUCCAAGUUAAAGGACUACUCCUUUUACUCAUAACCGUUGGAGGCAUACCAAAGCCUAGAAAAGCCUAAAUGACCCUAAAUUCAUAUUCUGGUGUUAUUUAACCCAUGCCUCUGGGAGGCGCUCAAGAACAGGAUAAUUUAAUGUCAUUCUCAGCCUGAAAAGUUCCUUAGUUUUCUUUUAAUCAAUAAUUAUUUUAAAUGCAUCAUUUCAACAAGAUACCAUGAGUUAGUUGAAUGAAUGCAUAUAAAACCAAAAUGUUGACUAGUAUAAUCCCCAAAUUGAGUUAAUAUUUUAAUCUUAGGUAUAACAUACUUUUAUAUUUCAUUUACCUUGCACAUUUUAAAAUGUGUUAAAUGUGUUUUCCACAACUUGGCAUAACUACACAUCCACUAGGUUUAUUGGGUGGGGAGGCAGGCAGAGAAGAGAACUUUGUUUUAAAAAAAAAGAAAAGAAAAAAAAAAGCUAUGACUAAAGGAUAGAACUCCACAGCAAACAUUUAGUUUCUACAAUUCAUGCCAAAGGUAGAAGAGAUUUUGAGAGAAAAAAAAUAGAUGGAUAAUUUCUAAAAUAUGUAAAGUAAACAACAAAUACGCAAAGGCAAGGGAGGAAAAAAAAAAAAAAAAAAAAAACAAAAAAAAACACACUACUAGCAGCAUGAAAACCCCAGGGAAA